rnacentral:rRNA from 1 species
CCUACGGGUGGCAGCAGUGGGGAAUAUUGGACAAUGGGGGGAACCCUGAUCCAGCCAUGCCGCGUGUGUGAAGAAGGCCCUCGGGUUGUAAAGCACUUUCAGUGAGGAAGAACGCAGGGUGGUUAAUACCCAUCAGGAAAGACAUCACUCACAGAAGAAGCACCGGCUAACUCCGUGCCAGCAGCCGCGGUAAUACGGAGGGUGCGAGCGUUAAUCGGAAUUACUGGGCGUAAAGCGCGCGUAGGUGGCUUGAUAAGCCGGUUGUGAAAGCCCCGGGCUCAACCUGGGAACGGCAUCCGGAACUGUCAAGCUAGAGUGUAGGAGAGGAAGGUAGAAUUCCAGGUGUAGCGGUGAAAUGCGUAGAGAUCGGGAGGAAUACCAGUGGCGAAGGCGGCCUUCUGGACUGACACUGACACUGAGGUGCGAAAGCGUGGGUAGCAAACAGGAUUAGAUACCCUAGUAGUC